AGUGAACGCUGGCGGUAGGCCUAACACAUGCAAGUCGAACGGCAGCACAGAGGAGCUUGCUCCUUGGGUGGCGAGUGGCGGACGGGUGAGGAAUACAUCGGAAUCUACUCUGUCGUGGGGGAUAACGUAGGGAAACUUACGCUAAUACCGCAUACGACCUACGGGUGAAAGCAGGGGAUCUUCGGACCUUGCGCGAUUGAAUGAGCCGAUGUCGGAUUAGCUAGUUGGCGGGGUAAAGGCCCACCAAGGCGACGAUCCGUAGCUGGUCUGAGGGGAGGAUCAGCCAACCUGGAACUGAGACACGGUCCAGACUCCUACGGGAGGCAGCAGUGGGGAAUAUUGGACAAUGGGCGCAAGCCUGAUCCAGCCAUACCGCGUGGGUGAAGAAGGCCUUCGGGUUGUAAAGCCCUUUUGUUGGGAAAGAAAUCCAUCUGGUUAAUACCCGGGUGGGAUGACGGUACCCAAAGAAUAAGCACCGGCUAACUUCGUGCCAGCCGCCGCCGUAA
rnacentral:rRNA from 1 species